rnacentral:tRNA from 1 species
GUACCCAAGCGGCCAAAGGGGACAGACUGUAAAUCUGUUGGCUCACGCCUUCGGGGGUUCGAAUCCCUCCCUGCCCA